UACGGAGGGGGCUAGCGUUGUUCGGAAUUACUGGGCGUAAAGCGCACGUAGGCGGCUUUGCAAGUCAGAGGUGAAAGCCCGGGGCUCAACCCCGGAAUUGCCUUUGAGACUGCAUCGCUAGAAUUGUGGAGAGGUAAGUGGAAUUCCGAGUGUAGAGGUGAAAUUCGUAGAUAUUCGGAAGAACACCAGUGGCGAAGGCGGGUCUCUGGGCCGAUACUGACACUGAGGAGCGAAAGCGUGGGGAGCGAACAGG
rnacentral:rRNA from 1 species